UUCAGGAAAAGGCUCCUCCUCUCCCCAGGGAGCCCACACUCCAGUGACGCAGUUCCCUAGAUCCACAGAAACCACAGGGAUUUCCCAUCCCAGAGGCCUCAGGGCCAUUCUGGGGAAAGGAAAUGGGGCCAGGCAGCCCUUCUGACGCCCUGUGGAGCCAGUCCAACCCCAGUGUCACCCUGCUACACCCGGGCAGCUCUCGUCUGGUCGGCUACAGAUCCCUCCUCCCCUGCAGGUUCACAGAUGAUGCCAAUGCUACCUCAAGACCACUCUGAAUUAUCCUGGCAGAGGAGAAGCACCAAGGCACCCGGGAUUUGAGAGGUCACCACUCUGGAGAGAGGGAAAUACCCUGUGGUAGGCCUGAUACUCUGUAUUGCUCUUCCCCCUGGAGGGAGCUGCCAAUUUUUAAGGCCUGGGGACCUGCAAGACCAGGUAGAAAGAAGAGGAUGAGAGUUUUCACUAGUGUUUCCACCAUUCAGGAAACAAAAGCCCUGUGGUAGCCAGGGUUUGAGAAGCCAACAUCUUGGAGACAAAUUGACUGCAGAGAAGCAGCCCUCAGCUCCCUGCUCUGGCUGCACGCCUAAUUCAUCUCCGCACUCCCGCCUCCUCCCGCCCUCAGCGCAGCGCGUGUACACUGUCGGUGCCCCAUCCAUGCUCAUCAGUGCUGAGUGAGGCCUGUCGGCUGUCGUCACGGACAACUCAGGGUUUUUAUUUAUUCACUUGAGACAGAUACAGAAAGAGAAUGAGAGCAUGAGAAAC